rnacentral:tRNA from 3 species
GGAGGGGUGCCCGAGUGGUUAAAGGGGACGGGCUGUAAACCCGUUGGCUAUGCCUACGUUGGUUCAAAUCCAACUCCCUCCACCA